rnacentral:rRNA from 1 species
UUAAGCAUAUCAAUAAGCGGAGGAAAAAGAAACCAACAGGGAUUGCCCUAGUAACGGCGAGUGAAGCGGCAACAGCUCAAAUUUGAAAUCUGGCUCUUUUAGAGUCCGAGUUGUAAUUUGCAGAGGGCGCUUUGGCUUUGGCAGCGGUCCAAGUUCCUUGGAACAGGACGUCACAGAGGGUGAGAAUCCCGUACGUGGUCGCUAGCUAUUGCCGUGUAAAGCCCCUUCGACGAGUCGAGUUGUUUGGGAAUGCAGCUCUAAAUGGGAGGUAAAUUUCUUCUAAAGCUAAAUAUUGGCCAGAGACCGAUAGCGCACAAGUAGAGUGAUCGAAAGAUGAAAAGCACUUUGGAAAGAGAGUCAAACAGCACGUGAAAUUGUUGAAAGGGAAGCGCUUGCAGCCAGACUUGCUUGCAGUUGCUCAUCCGGGCUUUUGCCCGGUGCACUCUUCUGCAGGCAGGCCAGCAUCAGUUUGGGCGGUGGGAUAAAGGUCUCUGACACGUUCCUCUCUUCGGGGAGGCCAUAUAGGGGAGACGUCAUACCACCAGCCUGGACUGAGGUCCGCGCAUCUGCUAGGAUGCUGGCGUAAUGGCUGUAAGCGGCCCGUCUUGAAACACGGACCAAGGAGUCUAACAUCUAUGCGAGUGUUUGGGUGUCAAGCCCGAACGCGUAAUGAAAGUGAACGGAGGUGGGAACCCGCAAGGGCGCACCAUCGACCGAUCCUGAAGUUUACGGAAGGAUUUGAGUAAGAGCAUGGCUGUUGGGACCCGAAAGAUGGUGAACUAUGCUUGAAUAGGGUGAAGCCAGAGGAAACUCUGGUGGAGGCUCGCAGCGGUUCUGACGUGCAAAUCGAUCGUCAAAUUUGGGCAUAGGGGCGAAAGACUAAUCGAACUAUCUAGUAGCUGGUUCCUGCCGAAGUU